rnacentral:rRNA from 1 species
CCUGAUGGAGCGACGCCGCGUGGGGGAUGAAUGGCUUCGGCCCGUAAACCCCUGUCAUUUGCGAACAAACCUUAUUAGUGAAUAACUGGUAAGUUGAUUGUAGCGAAAGAGGAAGGGACGGCUAACUCUGUGCCAGCAGCCGCGGUAAUACAGAGGUCCCAAGCGUUGUUCGGAUUCACUGGGCGUAAAGGGUGCGUAGGUGGUGAGGUAAGUCGGAUGUGAAAUCUCCGGGCUCAACCCGGAAAUGGCAUUGGAAACUACCUUGCUUGAGGAUUUGAGGGGGGAUUGGAAUACUUGGUGUAGCAGUGAAAUGCGUAGAUAUCAAGUGGAACACCAGUGGCGAAGGCGAAUCCCUGGAAAAUACCUGACACUGAGGCACGAAAGCUAGGGGAGCAAACAGGAUUAGAUACCCUGGUAGUCCUAGCCCUAAACGGUGCUUGCUUGCUGUAAGAGGAAUCGACCCCUCUUGUGGCGGAGCUAACGCGUUAAGCAAGCCGCCUGGGAAGUACGGUCGCAAGAUUA